rnacentral:rRNA from 1 species
GAUGAACGCUGGCGGCGUGCCUAAUACAUGCAAGUCGAGCGAACAGAUGAGGAGCUUGCUCCUCUGACGUUAGCGGCGGACGGGUGAGUAACACGUGGAUAACCUACCUAUAAGACUGGGAUAACUUCGGGAAACCGGAGCUAAUACCGGAUAAUAUAUUGAACCGCAUGGUUCAAUAGUGAAAGACGGUUUUGCUGUCACUUAUAGAUGGAUCCGCGCCGCAUUAGCUAGUUGGUAAGGUAACGGCUUACCAAGGCGACGAUGCGUAGCCGCCCUGAGAGGGUGAUCGGCCACCCUGGAACUGAGACACGGCCCAGACUCCGACGGGAGGCCGCAGUAGGGAAUCUUCCGCAAUGGGCGAAAGCCUGACGGAGCACCGCCGCGUGAGUGAUGAAGGUCUCCGGAUCGUAAAACUCUGUUAUUAGGGAAGAACAAAUGUGUAAGUAACUAUGCACGUCUUGACGGUACCUAAUCAGAAAGCCACGGCUAACUCCGUG